GUUGAGUUGAGUACCUCAAUAAUCAAAAUUUCUGACUCCACCAUUUGGUGUAUAUUGGUGUAUUUGACUCUUAAAUUGAUCCAAGUAUAAAAUUCAAUUCACUGUUCUGCUUAGAAUGAUUUACAAAUAUCUGAAUAUACUUUUAGUUAGUUUUGUUUCUGAGUAAUUUAAUCGUCAGGUCAGGAAACUUGUUUGCCUUUGGCAUGAGGCUUGACGUUACCAUUAUAUCGCAAAAUAGUUUAUUUCCCUAAAAGAGUAGCAUAACUUUUUGGAAUAAAAUAUCAGGGAUAUUUAAAUCACAAUUGUAGUGUAACAAUUUCAUACUUUGCUUAUAAUAACUAAUUCAGCUUGUUGU
rnacentral:misc_RNA from 1 species